AUUGAACGCUGGCGGAAUGCUUUACACAUGCAAGUCGAACGGCAGCACGGACUUCGGUCUGGUGGCGAGUGGCGAACGGGUGAGUAAUACAUCGGAACGUGCCCAGUCGUGGGGGAUAACGUAGCGAAAGCUACGCUAAUACCGCAUACGAUCUAAGGAUGAAAGCGGGGGAUCGCAAGACCUCGCGCGAUUGGAGCGGCCGAUGGCAGAUUAGGUAGUUGGUAGGGUAAAGGCCUACCAAGCCGACGAUCUGUAGCUGGUCUGAGAGGAUGAUCAGCAACACUGGGACUGAGACACGGCCCAGACUCCUACGGGAGGCAGCAGUGGGGAAUUUUGGACAGUGGGCGCAAGCCUGAUCCAGCCAUUCCGCGUGCAGGAUGAAGGCCUUCGGGUUGUAAACUGCUUUUGUACAGAACGAAAAGGCUCUGGUUAAUACCCGGGGCUCAUGACGGUACUGUAAGAAUAAGCACCGGCUAACUACGUGCCAGCAGCCGCGGUAA
rnacentral:rRNA from 1 species